rnacentral:lncRNA from 1 species
UUCAAUGCUUAUUGUUAAUUAUUCGAGAUGUGAUUGUUUCAAGUAUGUAUACAGAAUCAAUUGUGAAUUCAUUUUGUGUUUGUUCAGUUAUUCGAUGUGAUUGUUUCAAUUUUUUUUAUUUUUUUUUUUAGCUUUUACAUUUUCGACCAAUUACAGCUUUGGUUGUUUGAAGCAUCGUAAGUUAAAUUAUUUUUUUUAAAAAAUUUACACGCUGAUGGUGACGUGGACUACCCAUGUGGCAUUUUCUGUCCAUGGCGUGUUUGGUGUCAUUCCGUAAGAGAGAAGGGUAUUUUUGAGCCAAAAAAUUUAAUGAAGCAGUAUUUUUGAGCCAAAAAACUAACGGAGGUAUUUUUAUUCUAUUUGGGAUAGUUCAAGGAUAUUUUUGACCCUUUUUCAAUAAGUAUAUAUUGUGAUGAUUUUAAAGAUUAAAUUUAUGUAUUUAGUACUGUUUUUAAGUGUUUCAUCUAUUAUACAAAUUCAUUCUUUUUGGAAAACCAGAUAACAUUCUUUACUACUGCAAAAUAUACUCCUCGGUGAUUGUAUCUACUGUCCAAGACUUAUUGCUCCUCAAUUUGGUGAUGUAGUUUCUAUCUAUGUAAUUUUGUUUAUAUCAAUGUUCGAUCCUACUUGUAAAUUAUGUGUACUUCUUGUUACUUGUUAGGUAACUUUUAUUUUCAGUGAAUCGAGAGAAAUACAACUAGAAAAGAAAACCAGCAAACAAAUCUCAUUGAAAUAUUUCUUAUUUUUAAUCGAUUCCUCUAAAAAUGGAUAAAAAAGAUUUGAGACGAUCAACUUUAACCAUUACUUCUAAUGGUUAUGGCAAUAAUUGUCAGUUAAUGAAGUAUAAUUUGCCACACUUUAUUGAUGUACAAAACGAAAAUAAAGGACUUUUUGGUUAGAAACACUUAUACCAUUGAUAAGUCCAUUCGGCAGGAACUUUCAUUGAUUAGCAAGUGGAUUUCCAUACCGAAUGCUUAGAGAAAAGGCAGGAAAAAACAACCCCCUUAAGUUCCCACUCGAGGAUCUUAGCAGUUCACUUGAUUGAAUACUUGAACUCUUGUCGGCAAGGGAUUAACUUUGAUGGAUUUUCAUGUGCAAACGUUGUUGGGCAUACUUAACUAGUUUCUCUACUUCUUUCUUGUUAUCAAUGAAACCAGUAUGAUCAGUAUCAGCAUCCUUCAUGACUCCACGAGCCUUCCACGAGCUGAACCACAUGUGUAGACUCUCAAGGGCUUCUGUUAGUUCUUCAGGGCUAAUGCGCUUGUCAUGAUCCAUGUCGAAUUGCUUAAUCCACACCUUGAAUUCCUGCACUGACAUAUCCCUAUCCGGCUGCUGCACUGGAAGCUCGAAACAACUCAUUAUUGCCAUCUCUUUCUUCACCUUUACUUAGCAAAGAGAACACUGCCCUUACUGGGGAUGUGAUGCCCUCCUGUUGAAACUUCCUUUGUAUAUUGGUUGGUUGUUAAAUUUGCACAACUUUUUUCAAGUGCUAGGGAAUCUAUUUGAUGGGCAUCUUUUACUUUUAAAUUUUUGUUCAAAAUGAAUUGAUUCAAUUCACUCUAAUAAUAUGAAUUAUUCUCCAUUAGUGGCUUUGAAGUGAUGCUGAUUCUAGCAACUUUAUUCCAACUCAAAUUGUGGAGAGAAA